rnacentral:rRNA from 1 species
GAUGAACGCUAGCGGCAGGCUUAAUACAUGCAAGUCGAGGGGCAGCAUGAAUGUAGCAAUACAUUUGAUGGCGACCGGCAAACGGGUGCGGAACACGUACACAACCUUCCUAUAAGUGGGGAAUAGCCCAGAGAAAUUUGGAUUAAUACCCCGUAACAUAAUGAUGUGGCAUCACAUUAUUAUUAUAGCUACGGCGCUUAUUGAUGGGUGUGCGGCUGAUUAGAUAGUUGGCGGGGUAACGGCCCACCAAGUCUACGAUCAGUAGCUGAUGUGAGAGCAUGGUCAGCCACACGGGCACUGAGACACGGGCCCGACUCCUACGGGAGGCAGCAGUAAGGAAUAUUGGUCAAUGGACGCAAGUUUGAACCAGCCAUGCCGCGUGAAGGAUUAAGGUCCUCUGGAUUGUAAACUGCUUUUAUCUGGGACGAAAAAAGGCGAUUCUUCGUCACUUGACGGUACCAGAUGAAUAAGCACCGGCUAACUCCGUGCCAGCCGCCGCCGUAACAC